AGUAAUUCCUGUUGGGUUUUGUGGGCCCCCAGGGAACAACCGUAGGUGUCUGGGAGAGGGAGCUAGAGUUCUAGCUGAGCAGAUAGCAUGUCAAGGGUGUUCCGGCUUGUCUGUGAGCUGGGCUUGAUGUUUGAUGUAUUGUGCUCAUGUUUAAGAGCAGCCCUAGUUGUGCUCUCAAGGGGUGUUCCUACAUGCGAUCGAGACCUGUGUUGUGGUUCAGCUGUCGCCGUGCACGCAGGUGACUUGUUUGGUAUUGGUUUGGCAGAUGCCGAGGGAGGAGUCGUGCAGGGUGAUGGAGGACGGCGCUGUCAGCAGGAGCCGAGCGGGAUCUGGGCACCGGAGGGGAAUCGCACAGGGUGGUGGGCGAGCCUCAAGAUGGCAACGGGAUCUGAUGGAGGCCAGGCAGGUGCCGCACGCAGGCUUCAGAGGGGAGACGCCGCAUGCUGACGAGAGGUCCGAGAGGUGAGGGGGUUGAAGGCCAGGCUGUUGUUUGAGAGCAAGGUGUCGUAUGGCCACUCAGUUGAAGCGUCUGUCUUUGGUUUUGCAGGCUGUGUGCCGGCUGCCUUUGGGCCUGGAUGCGCGU